GGUGGGCCCGGUGAACCUAGCCAAGACCAGAGGAGGAGCUACCCAGCUGCACCCAGCCCAAGUGGUCAGCUGCAGAACUGUGAGCCAAGCCUGAACGUGACAUCCCUGUUCAGCAUCUCUGUUGACUGGCAUGGCCUUCUGAUAUCUUCUCUCUCCCAAAUCUCCUGGAAAUCUCAUGGGCAUCCCUGGUCUGGACCGAGCCCUGCUUCAGGAGUCCUGCUCACUGAUUGGGGUGAUGGAUGCCACAGGGGAGGGCAGCUGGCAGCCGUGGAUUCACAGGACAGGCUCGAAGCUGGAAGUGGGCUGGAGAAGAAGCUGUACUCAGCCCUUCAGGAGAGAGAGAGAGAGAAAACAGGGGCGUGGAGCUGGGCGGCCAACAGGAGCUGGGCUGCCAAUCAAAGGGCUGUCCCUGAUGGCAUAGUGGUCUGGCGGCCCACCCCCUGCCUGCCUCUCCAUCACCAAGCUCCAGGAACACUGCCUCCUUGCCAUUUCCUGAAUGAACCUGGGUCUUCUUUGAUGUCCCUUGAGGACAGCUCCUUCUCGUGCAGCAGGAGAGAUCCCCUCUCCCCAACCCUUCCUUGGAGACUGUCCUUGGCACCAGGCCCAAUGACCUCUCCUCCCCAGGCCCUUCUAGCACCUUGCCUGCCUGACUGCCCACCCCUCACCUCACUGGUCUUAUCUUAAUGAAAGUGAAAAGUGAAAAUGAAGUCACUCAGUCGUGUCCGACUCUUUGCGACCCCAUGGACUGUAGCCUACCAGGCUCCUCCGUCCAUGGGAUUCUCCAGGCAAGAAUCCUGGAGUGGGUUGCCAUUUCCUUCUCCAGGGGACCUUCCCGACCUAGGGAUUGAACCCAGGUGUCCCGCAUUGUAGGCAGACGCUUUACCGUCUGAGCCACCAGGGAAGUCUUAAUUAAUAGAUUCCAUUAAAGUUUAC
ensembl:lncRNA